rnacentral:rRNA from 1 species
CUACGGGGGGCUGCAGUGGGGAAUAUUGCACAAUGGAGGAAACUCUGAUGCAGCAACGCCGCGUGGAGGAUGACACUUUUCGGAGCGUAAACUCCUUUUAUAUAGGAAGAAGAUGACGGUACUAUAUGAAUAAGCGCCGGCUAACUCCGUGCCAGCAGCCGCGGUAAUACGGAGGGCGCAAGCGUUACUCGGAAUCACUGGGCGUAAAGAGCGUGUAGGCGGAUUAAAAAGUCAGAAGUGAAACCCUAUAGCUUAACUAUAGAACUGCUUCUGAAACUCUUAAUCUAGAAUAUGGGAGAGGUAGAUGGAAUUUCUGGUGUAGGGGUAAAAUCCGUAGAGAUCAGAAGGAAUACCGAUUGCGAAGGCGAUCUACUAGAACAUUAUUGACGCUGUGACGCGAAAGCGUGGGGAGCAAACAGGAUUAGAUACCCGAGUAGUC